rnacentral:rRNA from 1 species
AUGGGGUUCAAACCACUGGAGUGGUACUGUCAGCCAGUGAAGGAUGGGGCAUGGUCUCAUGCCGUCGAAAGCGCGUUUGGCGCAUACACACCCUGCGGCAUUGACACCAUGGUGGUGUGCAUCUCGUACCUCACACUUUUUGGCGUUUGCUUCUAUCGGACAUGGAGGACGACGAAAGACUACAAGGUGCAGAGGUACAAGUUACGCUCGCCGUACUUCAACUAUCUGCUUGGGCUGCUUGUUGUGUACUGCAUAGCAGAGCCGCUGUACAGGAUUGCCACCGGUACCUCCAUCACAAACUUGGAUGGGCAGUCUGGCCUUGCUCCAUUUGAGAUUACUUCACUGGUCAUCGAGUCUGCUGCCUGGUGCUGUAUGCUUAUAAUGCUAUUGCUGGAGACAAAAAUUUACAUCACCGAAUUAAGAUGGUACAUCCGGUUUGUGGUCAUAUAUGUAUUGGUUGGGAAAGCUGCUAUGUUCAAUCUUGUGCUUCCAGUGAGGCAGUACUACAGUUCAAGUUCAAUAUUCUACCUAUACUGCAGCGAGAUAAUAUGCCAGUGCAUUUUUGGAAUUCUCAUGCUGGUGUAUCUGCCUAGCUUGGAUCCCUACCCGGGUUAUACUCCAAUCAGGAGUGAGGUGCUUGUUGAUAAUACUGAUUAUGAACCUCUGCCAGGUGGAGAGCAGAUUUGCCCCGAAAGGCAUGCGAAUAUAUUUUCCUGGAUAUUCUUUUCAUGGGUGACUCCUCUAAUGCAACAAGGAUACAGAAGGCCCAUCACUGAUAAUGAUAUUUGGAAACUAGAUAAUUGGGAUGAGACAGAAACAUUGUAUAGCCGAUUUCAGAAAUGCUGGAACGAUGAACUUCAAAAACCAAAACCUUGGCUGCUACGAGCUCUCCAUAGUAGCCUCGGUGGAAGGUUCUGGCUAGGAGGAUUUUUUAAGAUUGGCAAUGAUGCUUCUCAAUUUGUUGGCCCAACCGUAUUGAGCCUCUUGUUGGAGUCUAUGCAAAAAGGCAAUCCUUCUUGGAAUGGGUACAUCUAUGCUUUCUCAAUCUUUGCUGGAGUGUUACUGGGAGUUCUUGCUGAAGCACAGUACUUUCAGAAUGUCACGCGGGCUGGUUUCAGAUUGAGGUCUACUUUGAUUGCUGCUGUUUUCCGUAAGUCCUUGCGACUGACAAAUGAUAGUCGCAAGAAGUUUGCUUCUGGAAGGAUUACAAAUUUGAUUUCAACCGACGCGGAGUCCCUUCAGCAAGUAUGCCAGCAACUUCACAAUCUGUGGUCAGCUCCUUUUCGCAUUGUUAUUGCCAUGGUCCUGCUAUAUGCACAACUAGGUCCUGCAGCACUUGUCGGUGCCAUCAUGCUGGCUCUUUUGUUCCCAAUUCAGACAGUUAUCAUAAGCAAAAUGGAAAAACUUACCAAGGAAGGGUUGCAAAGGACUGACAGACGAAUCAGUCUCAUGAAUGAAAUAUUAGCUGCGAUGGAUACAGUCAAAUGUUACGCUUGGGAGCAAAGUUUCCAGUCAAAGGUGCAGGACAUCCGUGACGAUGAGCUUUCCUGGUUUCGCAGUGCUCAAUUGCUUGAUGCGCUAAAUAGCUUUAUCCUCAACAGUAUUCCUGUCGUUGUCACGGUGGUUUCGUUUGGUGUUUACUCUCUGAUGGGGGGUGAGUUGACAGCAGCAAAGGCGUUUACCUCUCUUUCACUAUUUGCAGUGUUAAGGUUCCCACUUUUUUUGCUGCCAAAUCUGAUAACUCAGAUCUCCUCUUGGCUGAUGAGAAGAAUACUUCUGCCAAAUCCACCUAUUGAUCCUGAGCUUCCAGCCAUUUCUAUCAAGAAUGGAAACUUUUCAUGGGAAUUGCAGGCUGAGCGACCAACACUAUCAAAUAUCAAUCUGGACGUGCCUGUCGGCAGUUUAGUUGCAAUAGUAGGAAGCACCGGGGAGGGGAAAACUUCUCUUAUUUCUGCAAUGCUUGGUGAAAUACCACCAGUAUCAGGGUCAGAUACCUCAGUGGUCAUUCAUGGAUCGGUGGCUUAUGUUCCUCAAGUUUCAUGGAUCUUCAAUGCUACCGUACGGGAUAACAUAUUGUUUGGGUCUCCAUUCCAACCUCCAAGCUAUGGGAGAGCAAUAGAUGCUACUUCAUUACGACAUGACCUUGACCUACUCCCAGGUGGUGAUCUCACAGAGAUUGGAGAAAGGGGAGUUAAUAUUAGUGGGGGGCAAAAACAACGAGUUCUAAUGGCAAGAGCUGUUUAUACUGAUUCAGAUGUUUACCUAUUUGAUGAUCCACUGAGUGCAUUAGAUGCCCAUGUUGGUCGACAGGUAUUUGAUAAAUGUAUCAAAGAAGAGCUACGACAUAAAACUCGGGUCCUUGUUACUAAUCAGCUGCAUUUUCUGCCAUACGUGGAUAAAAUUCUGCUGAUCCAUGAUGGAGUAAUUAAAGAGGAGGGUACAUUUGAUGAACUUAGUAACUCUGGGGAGCAGUUCAAAAAACUUAUGGAAAAUGCUGGAAAGAUGGAGGAACAAACAGAAGAGAAACAAGACGAAAGCAAAUCACAGGACGAGAUAAAACACACUGAAAAUGGGGGCGUUGUAAUAGCUGAUGGUGGUCCGCAAAAGAGCCAGGAUAGUUCAAGUAAAACAAAACAGGGAAAAUCUGGUCUUAUUAAGCAAGAGGAACAUGAAACUGGAGUUGUCAGUACAAAGGUCCUUUCACGCUACAAAAAUGCAAUGGGGGGUAUUUGGGCGGUGUCCGUUCUCUUCUUGUGCUAUACACUGACUGAAACUCUACGGAUUUCAAGUAGCACAUGGUUGAGCAUUUGGACUGAUGUGGGUUCUCUGAAAAUCCAUGGCCCUGGUUACUACAACUUAAUCUUUGGCAUUCUUUCUUUUGGGCAGGUUUUAGUCACUCUCACGAAUUCUUACUGGCUGAUCACGUCAAGUCUUCGAGCAGCCAAGAGGUUGCAUGACUACAUGCUCCGGUCUAUAUUAAGAGCUCCCAUGGUAUUUUUUCAUACCAAUCCACUUGGACGGAUCAUCAACAGAUUUUCGAAGGAUUUGGGUGACAUUGACAGGAAUCUUGCUGUCUUUGUCAACUUGUUUAUGGCACAAAUAUCUCAGUUGCUCUCAACAUUUGUUUUCAUUGGUGUUGUCGGCACUAUGUCUCUUUGGGCUAUCAUGCCACUUCUCAUUUUAUUUUAUGCAGCCUACCUUUAUUACCAGGUCUCCUGUGUAUGCCCAAUUUUCAGAGGCAUUAAAUGGUCUGUCGACAAUCCGUGCCUCAAAGCCUAUGAUAGAAUGUCAAACAUCAAUGGGAAAUCAAUGGACAACAACAUCAGGUUCACACUCGUGAACCUGAGUUCAAAUAGAUGGCUAGCCAUCCGGCUGGAAACACUGGGUGGCAUCAUGAUAUGGUUCACCGCAACAUUUGCUGUGAUGCAAAACCAAAGAGCAGAGAAUCAGAAGGCCUUUGCUUCCAUGAUGGGUCUUCUUCUUACUUAUACCCUCAAUAUCACCAAUCUGCUCACAGCUGUUCUUCGUCUUGCUAGUCUUGCUGAAAAUAGUAUGAAUGCGGUUCAACGGGUAGGAACAUACAUCGAGUUGCCUUCUGAGGCUCCUCCUGUCAUUGAGGAUAACAGGCCACCUCCUGGUUGGCCAUCAUCUGGUAUCAUCAAGUUUGAAGAUGUUGUGCUUCGGUACCGACCAGAACUUCCACCUGUUCUUCAUGGAAUAUCAUUCAUUGUUAAUGGAAGUGAGAAGGUAGGAAUAGUUGGCAGAACAGGUGCUGGUAAAUCUAGCAUGCUUAAUGCUCUGUUCCGCAUCGUGGAACUGGAGCGUGGGAGAAUAUUGAUUGAUGAUUGUGAUACAUCUAAGUUUGGAAUUUGGGAUCUGCGGAAAGUGUUAGGAAUAAUACCACAGGCACCAGUCCUGUUUUCAGGUACUAUUCGAUUUAAUCUGGAUCCUUUCAGCGAGCAUAAUGAUGCGGAUCUCUGGGAGGCUCUUGAAAGGGCUCAUCUAAAAGAUGUCAUAAGGAGGAAUGCUCUAGGACUAGAUGCUGAGGUUUCUGAGGCCGGUGAAAAUUUUAGCGUUGGACAGCGGCAGUUGCUGAGUUUAGCUUGUGCAUUGCUACGAAGGGCAAAGAUACUUGUUCUUGAUGAGGCAACAGCAGCAGUUGAUGUUCAAACUGAUGCUCUUAUACAGAAGACAAUCAGAGAAGAAUUCAAGAGUUGUACAAUGCUUAUAAUCGCUCACCGUUUGAAUACCAUCAUCGACUGUGACAGGUUGCUUAUUCUAAGUUCUGGGAAGAUUUCGGAAUUUGACACCCCCGAGAAUCUUGUGAGCAACGAGGGAAGUGCUUUCUCCAAGAUGGUUCAGAGUACAGGACCUAGCAAUGCAGAGUAUCUUAAGUCUCUUGUGCUUGGCAAUGGUGAAGAGCGGCUGCGAAAGGAAGAAAGUAAGUUGCAAGAUAUUCAGAGGGAAUGGGCUGCGUCUAACCGAUGGGCUGUCGCUGCCCAGUUUGCGCUUGCUGCUAGCCUCGCGUCAUCCCACAGUGACCUCCUCUCAUUGGAGGCUGCGGACGGAAACAACAUCCUCAGGAAAACAAGGGAUGCAGUAAUCACCCUGCACAGCGUCCUUGAAGGGAAGCACAAUACUGAAAUCGAGGAAUCACUCGCCGAGUAUGAGGUUCCGCUUCCGCCUGAUAGGUGGUGGUCGUCACUUUACAAAGUCAUCCAAGGCCUUGCCACGAUGAGCAAACUGGGUCGCAACCGUCUACGGCAACCUGGUUACAGUUUUGAAAACCACGGCUCAUCGUCUAUUGACUGGGAUCAAAUUUAG